CUUAUCUGGAUUACCAGCAGAAUGUAUGGUCUCAAACACAGCCCUUUUCUGACACAGACAGCUGCAAGAUACUCUGGAGUAGUUUAAACCUUGUGGACACUUGCAAACAAAAAAGAGCAGACACUCACCUCCCUCCUUCCAAGGCUGGAUUAGGCCGCCAGGAUACCGGGAAAAAUCCUGGUGGGCCGGCAGCUGCACAGGGCCGGAUUGUGCCACCAGAAGACAUAGACAAGAUAGAGCGGAGGCUUCACGCAGCUUCAUGGGUGGCACCACAAUAUACCCCAUGCAAUCAUGGCAUGCAUGCUGGGCUGGCUCUAUUUGCUCCUCCUCCAGACCGGUCACGUUCCUUCUCAGCACAAGGAACAUGACUGACCCGACUGGAGACUCUGGAGAGGAAAAGGGAGGAGCUAUCCAGCAGAUGCUGUUUGCAGAAGCAUGGACAGGGGAUGGAGCAGGCACCAGGACCGGUCCGUGACGAAGAUAGAGAAGAGAAGAAGAGCUGAUUCUGGGAUUUUUGUUUCUUGGAAGAUCACAUUACAGAUGAAAAAGUCUGACAUUUUCAUUGUUGUUAUUUUUGUCUUUACAUUUCAAAAACCUUUAUAAUUUCAAAAGGUUGUGUAGACUUUUCAUACCCACUGUAAAUUACAGAAAAUGCAGACAAUAUAAAUGGUAAUUGUAUGUUACAA